CAACAAGGCGAUCUUGUCUAGAUUAGAAGAGAUAAGGUGAAAUAAUCAACUUGCCACCUGUGUAAUGGGUAGGCUUAGGCUUUUGUUUUAGCCCUCGAGUUUUGUAAAUAAUCAACUUGACAUGCAUAGAUAUUUUCUUUUUCUCUGUCUCUGUAGGGGGUUAAAAGCAGCAGCAAAAGUGAGAGAGAAAUGGCGUCGGCGGCAACUGCGUCAAUCUUUACGUCUCCAACUCAACCCAUUUCGGCCGCGCGGUCGGUGAGAGCUAGUAGCUUUUAUGGGUGCCUCAUUGCCAAGGAAUUUUCCGAAGAAGAAAAGAUUAGUCAAGAUUAGUGGGAAAGUGAGUGCUGCUGCUACCGUUACAAAAACUCCUAUGGAAGAAAUUAAAGAAUAUGUGCUUUAGCUUCAUUUUAGCCAACAGGUAUACACCCCUAUGGAAGAUAUUAAAGAGUAUGUGGUCUGCUGCUACUGCUACUGAAUUGAAAAUUUCCUUUGGCUGCUGUGAACUUGAUCUUUUCAUUCACUAAUGGAGUUGAUUGGAAUGGUCCUUACGGGCUACAGUUUUCAAGUUCCAAUUGGCUUGGCAAAACAGACUAAUUGAAUUAUUUAACCAGGGUUAGCUGAAGAGUUGAGUAAAGAAGUUGCAUGUGACAGAGCAAUCUUUCCAGACACAAAUAUUGUUGUGAUGUGCUAUGAUCGGUAACUUGUCCAAAGGAGUAAGUAGACUUUUUAUCUGUUUUGUUCUUUAUUCUAUAUCUAAAUUUCAUUAUCUUAUCUGUGUCUAAGUUCUAGUAUUAAUUUUGUGUGAACUCUAUAAAUACGACACUCGUGCAGGGCGAUUAUUGCAGUCUUGAUCUAGUUCUUGGAUGCAUGGAUCCUAACUCACACUUAUAUAACCCUCUCGCUAACAUCUCAUGCCCAAUCGACUCCGAUUUUGAGGACUAGUGUCGGCCAGCCACAUCUCAUGCACGCAUCUCAUAUCAUCUAAUGCAUUCACCAUGGCAGAAUAUUUGCAGGAUCACUACUUGGUAUCAAAAUGCAGUCCUAUAUGGAGUUCGCCCUGCCUGUUGACUUUUCAAGAAAUUUAAAUACAAGGCUGCAUAUAUUCAUGUGAAUGAGGUAUAGUACGAUCAUAAUGCAUGAUUCAAAUGAGUUUGAUGUGCUUGGUGGGAAGGAUCUUUAGAUCUUUCUUUUUGAUGCUCAAGUAGGGGUUAGAGUUGGGAAAGUUUAAUGUAACUACCAUAACCAUGAGAAUCCUUCAGUUUCUGAAAUAUUAUGUUUACAGUAUCAUAAUAUCAGAAUGUAGAUUGGAA